rnacentral:lncRNA from 1 species
CUCAUCCUUCUCUGUUACAGACUGCACAGACUGAAGCACAGCCAAAGGGGUGAAAUGCAGAGCAUGAAGCUGACACAGAGCUAUUCUGCACCAAGAGGUCAAGUGGACAUAGAGUGACAGCCACAUGGUGCUUUGGUGCCAUGCAGGGCCUGGAGGGAAGAGGUCACACAACCCAGACUGGUCAAUCACAGGCCUUGAAAAACAGGAAAUCAGCUGAGUAUUAUCCCUAUGAGACACAUGUGCAGUGCUUGGUUCACAGCUCUUUCACUGCAGAAGAGGCAAGAAGUGUGCCUUAGAGGUGAUGUCCAGAGUUACAGAUCAAUUAACCUUGGAUGGCAGCACAUAUGGCAGUCUCCAAGCACCUCAGGUCAUCGUUUACUGUGUUGCACGGGGGAAGGAAGACCUGCUGGGGACACUCUUCCUGAUGCAAGACAGACUCUUCCUGAGCAAAAAUAAUGGUUGUGCUCAUGCCAGAGAUUGCUAAGAAGCCAGACUUCAGUUAGUGAAACCCUC